AUUGAACGCUGGCGGCAUGCUUUACACAUGCAAGUCGAACGGUAACAGGCCUUCGGGUGCUGACGAGUGGCGAACGGGUGAGUAAUGCAUCGGAACGUACCCAGAGGUGGGGGAUAACGCAGCGAAAGCUGUGCUAAUACCGCAUGUGAUCUGAGGAUGAAAGCGGGGGACCGAGCAGCAAUGUUUGGCCUCGCGCCUUUGGAGCGGCCGAUGUCGGAGUAGCUAGUUGGUGGGGUAAAGGCCUACCAAGGCGACGAUCCGUAGCUGGUCUGAGAGGACGACCAGCCACACUGGGACUGAGACACGGCCCAGACUCCUACGGGAGGCAGCAGUGGGGAAUUUUGGACAAUGGGCGCAAGCCUGAUCCAGCAAUGCCGCGUGCGGGAAGAAGGCCUUCGGGUUGUAAACCGCUUUUGGCAGGAACGAAACGGUGUCCGCUAAUACCGGGCGCUAAUGACGGUACCUGCAGAAUAAGCACCGGCUAACUACGUG
rnacentral:rRNA from 1 species